GGACUUCAAACAGGACUGCAAGACUUCGCACUGGAAGCGAGGUUCCUUGCAAUGCCACUUGCGGCGAAGGUUUCCGCGUGAAAAGUCGAACAAUUCUGGCUCAUCCAUCGAACGGUGGUCACCGGUGUCCACGGAAACUCCGCAAAGUGGAACGCUGCUUUUGUGCACUGUGACUCCUCUCGGCACGAUACCAAUCCUUCGUGGGGACCCAGCACCCGGUACACGCCGGAACCGAUCGAGUGCGACUAUUCGGCCUGGUCCGCGUGGGUCUCCGUGUAGCAAGACGUGCGGCGAUUACGCCGUUCCAGCAGCGGACACGCUACGUGCUGAACUCGGAACACGCUCGGCACUGUCCGCAUCGGCUCGAGGAGCGAAAAUGUGAUAUAAUGCCCUGUUUGCUGGGUAACUGAGAAGGAGUGACAGGGGAGGCGAGAUUUGUUUAUUGUUUUACUGAAAUACUCGUUUAAACAGAUCGUAGUUGAAGCACUUUUUAGACUGUUUGUUUAACUGAAUACUCACUACACAAUCUCUAAGGUACGUUUACUAAUCAAGUUGAAACAGAUUAAUUUAACCAGAUAAUUAUUUCAAACAUUGUAAUCAAAUUGAUUGGCAUAUAAUGAUGUAAUCACAAUAUCAACAAAUAUGUAUAAGUAAAAUAGGGAAACAACGUUUUUUGUACAAGACACAUACACAAACACAGACAUUCAUUGGUAUAAACGAUGAACACAUAACCACUGAAUAAUUGAUCAAAAGCAAUGAUUUGAAUGUGUAAAAAAGGCUAAUCCAUAUAUUAGUAGUAAUGCAUGUGGCGACGGUGUAACAACAAAACCAACCAAAUCCAAU